GGAUGUGAAGGCAAUCUAGCUGAGGCAUCUGUCACCCCACUGAUUGCCAGGGUUGGUUCUACUGCUUAGACUGGUUAGGCCAGGUGUCCCCUUCCUCCCUCAAUAGCUCCAGGUGUGUCCCUUCCAAAGCUGCACACUCAGUUGCAGAGGACAACCUCCCCAAUAGAUUUUUUUGGCUGGAAAGUUGCCCAGCAGAGAAGUACCUGAGCAUGGUGGUUCAACAGCUGGCUUAACAUGAGCCAGUGUGU
rnacentral:snRNA from 1 species